rnacentral:lncRNA from 1 species
GAGGUGAAGAUACGCAGGACGUCCUCUAAAGCAACUUCCGUGGGUGCCAGGUUGUGGGCUGGGGGCGGUGCUGACCUUGAGAGAGCGGAGGAGGCGCAGGCGCAGCACAGGUACGUGGGCGGGCGGAUCGUGGUGGCUGCGCUUGCGAGGACCCUGAGGUAGAUUGGGUGGUUUCAACAGGAACGCAUCCACUGUCUGAGAGUUUAAACUUGAUUUUGUGAGGGGACGAACAGCGUGACAAUUAAAAGAAGAUCUGGGAAUCAAAAGCUUCCUGAGGCCUUCACCAGAAGCAGAUGCUGGUGCCGUGCUUCUACAGCCUGCAGAACUGAAGGACUUUACAGCUUCUCUUUCGCAUAUCCAAAUUGCCAGCAUCACCGCUCUUGCACUCCAAGCCAUUAUUAAGUAAAGUAAAGAACACAAACACUGUGAUACUGCUACACUUGAUCUGAUAACCAAGAAGUCUACUAAGUGACUAACAGCAGAGCAACUGGGAACCUAAUUCUGACCAAAAAGGAGGAAUUGUUUGGCUAAUUGGAAGUGACAGAAACCUUGGGAGAAAGCAACCGCAUACCAAGGAUAAUUAUAAGAAGAAGAGAAGACAUGGAGAAGAGGAGGGAGUAGUUGUGACCGUGGAGGCAGAGAAUGGAGUAAUGUGAUCAUAAAUCAAGGAAUGCUGACAGCCACUAAAGCUGGAGAAGGCCAAGGACAGAUAUUCAAUCCUCCCGUAGAAGUACAGCCCUGCUAAUGCAUUGAUUUUGGACUUCUGGCCUCAGAACUGUCUGGAAAGCAUGGAAAUUUGUAUCUUCAUUCACUUUUGUUUUCAUGGACUCUUUUCAUGUUUGAACUUUUCAUGAUCCAAUGUGAUAAUUUAUGUGAAAUCUUUCUGCAAACUAUACAGUAUGAUAAAAAUAUAAGGUAGUUUCACUGGAAACAACAGAAGACUAGAAGCUGAUGUGACGUGGCAAUAUCAACCAGGAAUACCCAUCUCGAGUUCUGGAUAUGUGCUCUGAGAAGGUGCCCAUGUCACCGACCACACUGGAGGCCAAUGCAGAUACUGGGGGAAGGUUCCAUGGUAGCUAAGUGUGGACAAGCUAAUCACUGAAGUUCCCUGAUGCAGAGUUGAUAAUCUCUCUAGAGUUGGAUGAAAGACUGUGCUGCCUUGAAGCUCUGAGAGAUGCCAUGCCAAUUCAAGGCAGGGUCUUUAUUGUUGAAACUCUUGCGUAAUGACAUCUUUAUUCAGGUGAAAAUACAGGAUGAAUUUCAACUAUAUGAUAUUGUUUAUGUUCCUCAGACAUGUUAUUUGUCUUUACAAAGAUUGGUUUCAAUAAACUGUGUGACUGAUAUUAAAUAAACAUGGAAUUUUACACAUUCAUAAU